UGCAAGCCCACAGUUCAUGGACAAAGCUCAAAACGUUUGCCUCAACAGCAAUGCUGUAGGCGAGUGUGUCAGGAAACUGGAAAACAGUUGUGGUGAGCCAGUGGUCAUCAGAAAGAUGCUUAUGUCCUUGAUGAGAAUGAUGACCAUGGUCUGUCAACAAAUUCAGACCAGAGGGGGAGAGAAAUCUCAGCCCACUGAAGCGAAUAACCAAACACCAGGUAAAGAA
rnacentral:sRNA from 1 species